UCCGGCGAUGAUUAGCCUGAGGCCACACCUGUUCCCAUCCCGAACACAGAAGUUAAGCUCAGCGCUGCCGAAAAUACUUGGCUGGAGACGGCCUGGGAAAAUAGGUAUUGCCGGAU
rnacentral:rRNA from 1 species